rnacentral:rRNA from 1 species
UACGUAGGGUGCAAGCGUUAAUCGGAAUUACUGGGCGUAAAGCGUGCGCAGGCGGUUAUGCAAGACAGAGGUGAAAUCCCCGGGCUCAACCUGGGAACUGCCUUUGUGACUGCAUAGCUAGAGUACGGUAGAGGGGGAUGGAAUUCCGCGUGUAGCAGUGAAAUGCGUAGAUAUGCGGAGGAACACCGAUGGCGAAGGCAAUCCCCUGGACCUGUACUGACGCUCAUGCACGAAGGCGUGGGGAGCAAACAGG